rnacentral:misc_RNA from 1 species
ACCAUUGCUCAUCACCUCUCCAUCUUUAGUUUGAAGUAUCUCAGUUUUGCGAUUCUCCUCGCUGUUCACCGCGAAUAAUCAAGCAUCGAUUGACGACGACGAUGGACGAACCAUCGCAGGGCGGUGACCAGAAGCUGUCGGCCAUGGAGCAUGUCAAGAAACGCCAUGAAGAGAAGGGCUUCCUCUAUGCCUGCUUGUUCAUGCUGUGCUGCUGCUUCUGCUGCUACGAGACCUGCGAGUGCUGCCUCGACUGCCUCUGCUGCUGCUG